rnacentral:rRNA from 1 species
UACGUAGGUGGCAAGCGUUGUCCGGAUUUAUUGGGUUUAAAGGGUGCGUAGGCGGCUUUGUAAGUCAGUGGUGAAAUAUGGCAGCUCAACUGUCAAGGUGCCAUUGAUACUGCGGAGCUUGAGUACAGAUGAGGUAGGCGGAAUUGACGGUGUAGCGGUGAAAUGCUUAGAUAUCGUCAAGAACACCGAUAGCGAAGGCAGCUUACUAGACUGUAACUGACGCUGAUGCACGAAAGUGUGGGGAUCAAACAGG